AGCAGCCGCGGUAAUUCCAGCUCCAAUAGCGUAUAUUAAAGUUGUUGCAGUUAAAAAGCUCGUAGUUGAAUUUCGGGAUUUGUCAGUUGGUCGGGCUUCACUGUCCGUAUUGACUUGAUGGAUUCUUACCUUCUGAAUAACCAGCAUGCUAUUAAGUUAGUGCGUUGGGGAAGCAGAUCUAUUACCUUGAAAAAAUUGAGUGCUUAAAGCGAGCUAGUGCUUGAAUAGAUUAGCAUGGAAUAAUAAAAUAGGACGGCAUGGUUCUAUUUUGUUGGUUUCUAGGAUCACCGUAAUGAUUAAUAGGGAUAGUUGGGGGCAUUAGUAUUCAAUUGUCAGAGGUGAAAUUCUUGGAUUUAUGAAGACUAACUUCUGCGAAAGCAUUUGCCAAGGAUGUUUUCAUUAAUCAAGAACGAAAGUUAGGGGAUCGAAGACGAUCAGAUACCGUCGUAGUCUUAACCAUAAACUAUGCCGACUAGGAAUCGGACGAUGUUAAUUUUAUAAUUGACUUCGUCGG
rnacentral:rRNA from 1 species